CGGGGUGUAGCUCAGCCUGGUAGAGUGCUUGCUUUGGGAGCAAGAUGUCGCAGGUUCGAAUCCUGUCACCCCGACCA
rnacentral:tRNA from 1 species